rnacentral:rRNA from 1 species
UACGUAGGGGGCGAGCGUUGUCCGGAAUUACUGGGCGUAAAGCGCGCGUUGGUGGUUUCUCAAGUUCGGCGUGAAAUCUCCAGGCUCAACUUGGAGGGGUCGUCGAAGACUGGGAGACUAGGGUCUGGCAGAGGCAGGUAGAAUUCCCGGUGGAGCGGUGAAAUGCGUAGAAAUCGGGAGGAAUACCAGUGGCGAAGGCGGCCUGCUGGGCCACGACCGACACUGAGGUGCGAAAGCGUGGGGAGCGAACCGG